UGUUCCAAUGGGAGAUUUUCCAGUAGUUCCAAAAUCGACCAAUAGAUGGCAUUUGGCCUGUCGUUUUUAGUAGUGAGCUACAUUCUUCUGAGGAAACGGAGAUGACAAAUGUCACAGACCUACUACAAAACAAAUGUUAUGUUAUUCGGUUUCUCUUGUAGCUACGCGAAUGUCGGAGACGCGAAUGUCUCCGGUGCUGUGUUUUGUGAUAAUUUCGACGACUCUGGCUAUUCUUUUGGACUUUUGUGACUUCUAUACCCGACCGACCUUUGCACUCCCCCUGGACCCUUGCUUGCCAUUACGAUUUACCCCUGCCUGUACUCCGGACCUUGAAACAAUCAUGGGAAAAGACUAUGGAUCAUGGUCAACUGUACGCCUGAAGGACGAGCUGCGAAAACGCAAAGCAAAACUUUCUGGAAAGAAAGCAGUGCUUGUCCAGAGACUUGAAGAUUACGAUAAGCUGUUUGGACCAGUUGUAACCGACUCGGAAGUCGUAUUCAAAAUAAAAGUAGUAUUACCUAAGAGGUAGUCUGAUGGUUUGAAGUGGCCGGGGCAUAUUCUUGAAUGCUUUUUUAUGUUUAAUCCAGGCUUUAAUUCUUUUAAUGCUUCCAUCCAUUUUGCCCGUCUUGUUUCGUUUUGUGGAAUUUUGUGCACCCCCCUUUCUCUACAGUAAGCUACAAUACAACACGACGACAUAUCUACUAUAAAUGCUAUUCAGAGAGUCGGAAAACUUUAGUUUUGUGGUGUGGGUAGAGAAAACUAAGUACCCACCUACUAAUG